AUGGGCGGCGGCGGCGGAGGCAGAGGCGGUGGUGGCGGUGGUGGCGCGGCGAGCGUGCGGGAGCCUCAUGACUUUGGCAACGUUGCAUCCUUCUCCGAGUUGCCAUUCCUGCGCUCCGGCGCUCCUCCACGAGAAAGCCCCAACUCUGGCAUUCGUCUCUUCGGCAUUGACGUCCCGCAUGCAUCACCUGAGGGAAGAAUUAAAGAAGCCACCGCUGCCAGCAGCGCGACCCCUUCUGCCACCACGCAGAGCAGCAGUGGAGCUGCCAUCACCGCUGCAAGCGCCGCCCCGGACAGCAACCGCAAGUUCGAGUGCCACUACUGCUGCAGGCAUUUCCCGACGUCACAGGCUCUCGGCGGCCACCAGAACGCGCACAAGCGCGAGCGGCAGCACGCGAAGCGGGUGCAGAUGCAGUCAGCGAUGGCCGCGGCAGCAGCGGCUGCUGGCAGUGCGCACCACUACCAUCUCCUUGGCUACCCGCAGCACCGCUUCGGUGCGACAUUGUACCCGUCGUGGACCAUGGUGAGUGGCGGUGUCUCCUAUGGCCAGCAGUUCUACAGAGGGAUCGGGUCGGUCGGUCAGCCGAUCAACAGGAACCCCCUGCCUGAGGCGCAGUGGAGGAGGCCGCUGGCUGCGCAUGCCAACAUGGGCAUGCCGUUGGCUGGAGAGCGGCAGCCGGUCACGCUGCACAUGUUUGGAGAAGAGCAGAGAGCUUCCCCUUCUCUUGGGGCGGCCUCCACCUCCUCUUCCUCUUUACUGCUCUCCCCGCAAGGUCAGUCUGCUUGCGAGCAGCCAGCCACCACCGCAGCACCCGAGGGUGUGAGCUUAGAUUUGCAUCUAUAA
rnacentral:rRNA from 1 species